rnacentral:rRNA from 1 species
CCGACACGACCGUACCGCAAACCGACACUGGUGCGCGAGAUGAGUAUUCUCAGGCGCUUGAGAGAACUCGGGAGAAGGAACUCGGCAAAUUGACACCGUAACUUCGGAAGAAGGUGUGCCUUUAGUAGGUGAAGUCCCUCGCGGAUGGAGCCCAAUGAGGUUGCAAAGAAUCGGUGGCUGCGACUGUUUAAUAAAAACACAGCACUCUGCAAACACGAAAGUGGACGUAUAGGGUGUGACGCCUGCCCGGUGCUGGAAGAUUAAGUGAUGGGGUGCAAGCUCUUGAUCGAAGUCCCAGUAAACGGCGGCCGUAACAAUAACGGUCCUAAGGUAGCGAAAUUCCUUGUCGGGUAAGUUCCGACCUGCACGAAUGGCGUAACGAUGGCCACACUGUCUCCUCCCGAGACUCAGCGAAGUUGAAAUGUUUGUGAUGAUGCAAUCUCCCCGCGGAAAGACGGAAAGACCCCAUGAACCUUUACUGUAGCUUUGUAUUGGACUUUGAACGGAUCUGUGUAGGAUAGGUGGGAGGCUUUGAAGCCGGGUCGCUAGAUCUGGUGGAGCCAACGUUGAAAUACCACCCUGGUGCGUUUGAGGUUCUAACCUAGGCCCGUUAUCCGGGCCGGGGACAGUGCAUGGUAGGCAGUUUGACUGGGGCGGUCUCCUCCCAAAGCGUAACGGAGGAGUUCGAAGGUACGCUAGUUACGGUCGGACAUCGUGACGAUAGUGCAAUGGCAUAAGCGUGCUUAACUGCGAGACUGACAAGUCGAGCAGAUGCGAAAGCAGGACAUAGUGAUCCGGUGGUUCUGUAUGGAAGGGCCAUCGCUCAACGGAUAAAAGGUACUCUGGGGAUAACAGGCUGAUACCGCCCAAGAGUUCAUAUCGACGGCGGUGUUUGGCACCUCGAUGUCGGCUCAUCUCAUCCUGGGGCUGUAGCCGGUCCCAAGGGUAUGGCUGUUCGCCAUUUAAAGAGGUACGUGAGCUGGGUUUAAAACGUCGUGAGACAGUUUGGUCCCUAUCUUCCGUGGGCGCUGCAGAUUUGAGGAAGCCUGCUCCUAGUACGAGAGGACCGGAGUGGACGCACCUCUGGUGUACCUGUUGUCACGCCAGUGGCAUUGCAGGGUAGCUAAGUGCGGAAGAGAUAACCGCUGAAAGCAUCUAAGCGGGAAACUCGUUUCAAGAUGAGAUCUGCCGGGGCCUUGAGCCCCCUGAAGAGUCGUUCUAGACCAGGACGUUGAUAGGUCAGGUGUGGAAGCGCAGUAAUGCGUUAAGCUAACUGAUACUAAUUGCUCGUGCGGCUUGAUC